rnacentral:lncRNA from 1 species
GAAAUAAUCGCCUGUUUGGUGCGCAUUAUGUUGUAUAGAACUGAAAUAUACUGUGUUUCUUUACGUUGGAGAACAGAAAGAUAAUCUUGAUAUACGCGGUAAGUUUCAUUCAACUCUACCGUAGUCGAUAUAGUAGGCAAUUUGUUAGUGUGUGAGGCAUAAAUAUGUGUAAGGCACAAUAUUUAUGUAGCUACAGUAUCAGACUGGCAGACUGCCCAACUUCAGAAAAUUUACUUUAGAAAGCCCACUUUACUCGUUUGAAAGAAAAUAGAUAAGCCAUCAAUAUCACAAAGGAGGAAAUAAAUGAAUCUAAUAAUAAGUUUACAAAUUAUUGCAUCAUUUCAUCGCAUGAUCAAUAUUAGAACAUGAAUUAAAAGAGGUAAAAUAUUAAAUCCACUCGAAUGCGCAUGCACAUUCUACAAUUUAAAAUCUUUGUAAUUUUGUGAUGAAUAAUAUUUUUGCCCUAAAUAUGUGAAAUUGUUAUAAUCUUGAAAGGUCUGUCAGUCUGUGUCAAUUAUGUAGAAAGUAGUGUCAAUAAUAAGAAAAAUUCGGAUUGAUAAAUCUUAUGUUAUUCCAUGAAACUUGCUUAGUAAGCAGUUUUUAACCCAUUGAGUUGUAUUGCACCCUGAUGCACCCUACUUUAGUAUUUUACUCUGUCUAAGGCCAGACGAUUUUACUCGUCAAGGGGAGAGCGCUGGCGCUUAAUGGGUUAACUGGCCUAUCUGCCCAUGUGCCUAGUUAACCCAUUGAUUUGCAUUGUACCCUGAUGCACCCUACUUUAGUAUUUUACCCUGUCUAAUGCCGGAUGAUUUUACUCGUCAAGGGGAGAGCGCUGGUGCUUAAUGGGUUAAAGUAAAGUCAAAUUCUUGGCCUUUGCUCCAUUAACGUUCUGUGGGGCCUGUGGCAUAAUAUCAGCGCGAGGCCCCUUGACCCCCUCCCCAACUGCCCAAUGGCAUUUUAGACACCGAAUUCAGUAUGAUUAAAAAGUAUUCUUUUGUAUUUCAUGUGUUGAAGAGUUUCCUGUACAUUAAAAAAAAGAAACUGAAAUUCAACACAGUUUAUAUAAUUAAAUUAAUAUUAUUAUUAUUUACAUGAUAGUGUCCAUAUAAACUUCUGCAGUCUUCCACAAAAUUCAGCAAUCUUCCACAAAAUUCAGCAAUCUUAUAGUAUUUAGAAGAACAAGAACUGCAAAUUUUGAAAUUUUCUCACAAUGUUUUUUUGGCCUCGCUUUGGUUCAAAGAAGGAACAAAAGACUUUUUGCGGCCCUGCUCUUUUAUUUUGGGGCUCCGUUAUUGGGGGCCUUGGACUCUUUGGGGCCCCGCAUUGUUUGGAUCCCACGCUGAAACAGGGAAAAAAACGUUUGGGGCCCUCGAUUUUAAAUUUUUGGGCCUGACGUUUUGGGGACCCUUUGGGGCCACACACUCAAACAGGGAACAAAAAAUAUGUUUGGGUCCCCGCAUAGUUAAUAUAAUGAGAGGGUUUGGAAGGCCGGCAAACUUCAAAGGAUCACGCCCCCUUUCGUGAGCUGAACUCGAUAGAGGGCACCACGUGACAGUUAAGGUGCAUCAUGGCGUGAUUCUAUAAUACAAUUCCCUAUUGACAACUUAGAAAGCUUUAAUUUUUGCUUGUUAUACCGCUUUAAUAUACGAGGUUUGGGUAAAAUACAAGGUUUUAUCGUAAAUCUCCAUCGUAAAUGGCAGCUUUUGAGACGUUUUUAUGUGUGAUAAGCCAAAUUGCGGACGCUGUGUAUAGUAUCGACGGGGUGCCGGGAACUUGCGAACUAUCGUAUUUCAAGUGAAGCGAAGUCACACUGCUAAAGCCGCUGGAAAAGGUCGUUAAAAACGCACGUUUUAGGUUUGGAAACAUAGAAAUAGAUGAGGAAAUUGAUACUGAGCGUUUAGAAAGCUCUUGUUCACCUUUUGAGGACGAUUACGAGUAAACAACUGCGCUUGUCGAAAUGGACGUCCACGGAUGAAGUAUUUAAAAACACACAUCAAAUAAAGACAAGGUCACUGUCUAUCAGUAGACACUGUCUAUCAAGGACACAGUCUACCAGUAUCAGUAUCCUAGCUAGUAGCUUCCCCUCUUGUGGCAAACUUGUGGUGCAACAUUACUCAAAACUAUGAUGUAGAAACAUCACUGGAAUGUCAAUCUUUUGUUUACAAAGAAUGUUCAGUCAAAUUAUUUGUAACUGUAAGAUGUUUUCCUUUGCUAAGGAUCUGAUUGUAGAUACUGUAAAUAUAAGAUAAGUCCGGGUACACAGAAAAAGAAAGCUUUAUGAAAAGACUUGAAGAUUGAAAUAGUCCGGUACAUAAUACAGUUACGUUAUAUCAAUGAUCGUAAAUGUGAAUAUGAUACUGUAUCAAUGAAUUAUCCUCAUAAUUUUAUGUGUAAUCUUUUCAUCAACACAUACAGUAGUAAUAACAACAAUAUAUUAUAUAAAAUAUACACACAGCUUAAACUUACUUUCUCUCAUUUAUGUAAUAUUCAGCCAAUUUUGGUCAUGCAGUUUAAAUAAGCUAAUACUGUAGUUUAAAUCUCAAUGUGCUCUUAUUCCUUUACUCUGUUAGUGUCUAUCAUCAGACAAUUUUACACAUCAAGGGCAGUGCAGAUUAAGCAUUGCAGCUUAAAGAGUUAAAAUCAUAUGGCAUCAGACAAAUGUUAAAAGGAUAAAGUAGAAGCAUUGUGGCUUAAUUAAACAUACAUUGUGUAGUGUAUGGUUUGAGCAUUUAAUACAAAUUACAAUGCAUUUCUAACAUGACUGUGGAAUUAAUAACACUAUUGCAGCAAUUUUUGCUCCACCUACUUUUGAUAGAUAAAAAUGAACUUCUAAGUUAUGAAUGUUCAGAAAAUAAAUAGAUACAUACUGUACACAGUAAGAACACUCAUGUCUUUCUUAAGUUAACUAAUUGGCACAUUCCAUAAAAUCAGCCAAUCUCGUACCACACAACGAUGGGCUCUGGGGACAGCAUAAACAAAGUGUAAAAAGCCUGCGACUUACACUGUAAAUUCUUAUUAUUAAACUAUAUUUUAUAGUCUAUAUAAGUACAUUUCAUAUUCCUCUUUCUUGAAGUGCCUCUCGCAAACAUACAACGUCCCAUUUUUAGUGUGAAGUUUCUUCGAAACUUCACGGUAUUGUGAUGGUGGGGGAAAUUCAAACGAAACAGUCAGUCAGUCAGUCAGUCAUUCAUUCAGUCAUACAGUAAACUUUCCGGGGGGCGUGUACGAUUUAUGUUCGUAGUGAUUUAUUGUGCUUAGUCAGUACUUUGAAGGUUAUUUAGGCAAUUUCAGUUAAUUUAUUUACAUAUUCUGUUAUCCUUUUACCAAGUUCACAAAAAUUUCGAGCAAUCGCUUUCGUUAUUGUAAUUCUUUGUAAAUUUUAGAACAUUCGCUUCUCAUGUUGUUUGUGUAAAGGAUCUUUACCCCGGAACACCCGAUUUUCUUUAGUAACUCAAAUGCACAUGCGCUAUCAAGCGAUAGAUCACGAUGGCGUGACGAUAUGCUAGGAAGGAGUGACAGUGUUGUUUUCAGAUGUAUAAACAUUUCAGACGUGAAUAUUGAGUAAAUCUUUGAAAAUCUACGCAAUAUAUAAAUUGAUCUUAUGCAUUACGGCCGUUCAGUUAAUAAGUGUCGAUAAUAUUUAGGCGGUAUAUUCAUUAUACAGAGCUAGGAAGGAGCUAGACCGCCUAGACAGUGCAGUCAACACUCAAGUGUAUAAACAUUUCAGACGUAAAUAUUGAGCCGAAAUCUUUGAGAUUCUAGGCAUUCAAUUGAGUGCUGAUAUUAUUUUCACGGUAUACUCAUUAUACAGGGGUACAGUAUGUACGAAGAAGCGAGACAGUCUUGUUUUUCAAAUAUAUAAACAUUUCAGACAUGAAUAUUGAGAAACUCUUUGAGAUUCUACGCAAUAAUAUGAUAUAUAAAUUGAUGAGUAUGGUUACCGGCGUUCAAUUAUAAAGUGCCCAUCGGUAGACGAUAUUAUUUAGACCGUGUAUUCAUUAUACAUUGUUAUUUGACUGUAUAAGGUGCCACAUCACAGAAUAGUACACUCAGGCAAAUAGCGAAAAAUUGCAUCAGAUCAAUAACAGGGGCGGAUUCAGCGUUUUGGGUGACCGGUUUACUAGGUCCACACAACCAGGAAAUUUUUUAAAAAUUUGGGCCUCUGAAACAGCAUUUCCUGCGUUCUGGCGUCAAUUUUUAAAUGUAUUUAAUGAUUAGAAAAUAUAUCUUUUAAGAGAAUUUUGGACUAACACGCAGCUCAAACGAUGAAUUGAACCUUUUCGGAAACCUAUUAGCUAGUGCUGAAAAUAUAGGAUUGGCAACUGAAUUGCUGACGCAUCUACAGUUAUUAUAAGUACAAGUAGAGAUGCUUUUAAUAUAAAAAUAGUUGUAAUUUUAGAUCUAUACGCUUUCAAACCAACUUUAACAAUGAACUAGAAACCAAACUGCAAGAGCGUGAAUAUUAAAAGCUUCACAAAUAAUCACAAUCAUUUCCUGAUUCUCUCUCGCCAACGCAAUGAUUCUGUCACGCAAGAUUAUACGUACAUUAUCAUAUUUCGCGCUAUCAUGUGUAUAGACUGUAGUUACACGUAUAAACACCGAUACGCUUGUUGAUGAAUCGAUAGUUAGUAUACAGUAAGUAGAAAUAGCUUACCGUUAUAAUUUUAGACUAUAUACUUCUAAAAAAACCUUCAAAAUGAACAAGAAAUCCAUGUAAAUGCUUCUAUCGCCAACGCAAAGAUUCAGUCACGCAAAAUUAUAAACAUAUUUCGCGCGUCCUCGAGUUCUGUUAACUUUCAUGCCCAGUUUUCUCUAAAUACUGCUCGACUCACAGGUUUAUGACCGGUUUACAUCCGCCGGAGCACAGCCGUUUAGCCAAUCGAAUGGCGUAUCGACCGGUUUACUCUCAUGGAGAAAACUCUGACCACCGGUUUACUCAUAAUUGCGGGCGGUUAUGUGUGAUUCAUGCGAUGUUUACAAGUCCACGACCCACGACGAUAUAUUAGCAGAUUAUUAGUCUAGUAUUACAACAUUUCGUAAGAGGAAACCAGGGCGAUAAGUCCUUAAUUAUACGUUCGGUAAUCCAUAAUCAAAUUUCAACAACAGUGUUUAUUAAGUGGCGUAAUAGAUUAGACAACAUCAAUUUUAUGAAACAGAAUAUUCUUUAAAUUAGUUAUAUACACGAAAGGUUUUUUCUCUCUUUGGAAAAUCUACAGGUUUAUAUAAACCUGUCAAACCUGUCUGAAUCCGCCCCUGAAUAAAGCAUCAACAACUAUUAAACAGAAGCGGGCGUUCGUACAGGUGUUUAUGAAGAAAAUAUUGCGAGACGAAGGAAAUCAGUUGAAUCAGAGCUCCUUAUUUUAAUAAGAAAGACGAGGAGAUAGCCAAUAUGUUAUCGCCAACGUGUUAUCGCCAAUCGCUUGGCUCACUAACAAGCUUUAUGCAAUGGAAGAAAAAAGCAAGGAGGUACAUGUAGCCAACGUGUACACUGUCGCGGACCUUGUUUACUGUCUAGCACAACGCCGUUGUCAACGGUGCAAAUUCGUGUUCAGUGCAACGUUAACUCUAACAGAUCUUACGAGAAUUAAUCUGUAGUAUUCUGUACACAGAACUGUAUCAAAGCUUGUCAAAACUGCUUUAAACACUGCUAUAACUGUGAAACUAUUGAAAUCUAAAGUGACAUUAUUCAAAACAUGCGAAAAGCUGAAAAUAGACACAACGUGGCCACUGGGAAAAGUCAAAGGUCAAUGCGGACUUGUUAUUGUAAAAUCUGUCACAAUUAGGUUAAAAUGCGGAAGCGGAUGGAGCGGACCACAGAACGGAAAUGCGAAAAAAAUACGGAACGGAUGAAGAUAAAAUGCUUCCUUUCAAUGAUGUAACGACGUAGUGCUUAUUAUUUAUAACAUAUCGUAUACAUCUAUUUCAAUUAUAAAUUUGCAGUAGCCUUGUGCGGAUGCUUUUAGCGACAGCUGCAAUUGAAAUUUUGAAUUGUCGCGUGUAGCAUCACAAUAGAUAGAUCAAUUGUAUCAGUUUCACAAAGCACGUUUCUGAUGUGUUAGGCUUGUUUCAAACGUCACGCUACUCGUGUGUCGAGGGCAUUAAAAGCAAUAUAUAAUGAGAUGAAAUGCCGUUGGUGAUUGUUUAUUUCGUAGUGUAAGACAUCAGCUUUUCUAGGUUGUCAGCGACCCUAUAUAGUUCUUGCAGAAUCUUUUUCAAUUUGAAACUUCACACUAUCCUUGGAUCCCUAGUUUGAUUUUCCUUCGCAAAUGCUCAUCCACUACGCGGUCCUUUGUAAUAUUGUUGAUACACGCUUCACGAGUUUUCAUUGAUAAUGCGUCUUUUCCUGAAGGAAUCCGGAGAAUUCCAACUCCAACAUUAUUUCGACAUGUACCGCAGCCAAUAUGAAGCAAUUCGCUCCCGGCAUCGCCGAAAAAUCAAUGAAAUUUAAUGUUUUUAGGCUCUGUUUGGCUUAAACUAUUAUACUAUCGUAUAUUUUAACACCUCAAAGCAUGCACUCUGAGUUCCACGUGACCGAGAACAAUAAGUUAUUUUGUCACGUGACCCGGCCUUCCAAACUCUCUCAUUAUAUUAACUAUGGUCCCCGCAACCCUGCUUUUUGGUGCCUCGCUUUUAAAAUUUAAUUUGGGGCCUCGCACUGGCACACUGUCUGGCACGGAAAAAAUAGAAGAGUGUAAGCACGGGGCCUUUCAAUUUAAGCGCGGGGCCUGCAGCAUAUGCCGCUUCUGCCAUAUGGUUAAUCCGGCACUGCUUUGCUCAAAAUGUUAAACGUUGAAGUUCUGUCUAUAUUUUUUCAGGAAGUUUCAGUACAUUCAUGGCGAAUGUAAUAUUUAUUUCAGUUUGUGGAAAACACAAUAUACCUAUAUUUAUUUUGCAAAGCUUUUAAUCCAUGUUAUGUGCCUGAAUGAUAUGUGAUACCCAUCCUCCCCCAGACUUCUUGGUUUUGCCUAUGAUUUUGGUGUAACCGUCCCACGGUUAGUACACAGUCUUAAAUUUACAUUUUUUCUCAGUAUCCAACUGGGAUACCAGGAUUCAAAGUUUAGUAUCCCACUUCUGGAUACUGGUUACCAUAAUAAUAAUAUACAUAAAGAUAUUACUCGAAAUCACAGUGCAAUUUUUAAAGAUUUUUUUUUAAAGAUAUUUCUGUAAUCACAGUGCAAUUUUUUGUAAUCACAGUGCAAUUUUCUGUAAUCACAGUGCAAAAAUCUUUAACAAACUGACCUGAUUGGUGGACAGGUAUCGAUAAAAUGCGCGAGUGUCUGAGCGCCGCUCGCAGGCACCUUUUACAUUUUUGCAGGCACAUUUUAAAAUACUGAUAUUUUAACAAUAUUUUGGUCACAAGAUCUAAAUAAGAUGUGUUUUAGUUGCAGGCACAUUUUGAAUUUCGCUCGCAGGCACGAAAAAAUGUUAUCGAGGCCUGUUGGUGGAAAAACAUUGUGAUGAUUAAAUCAACCAAUCAGUUUAAAAGAAUUUAGUUUGAAGAAGUAACGGUCACAGAUUGCUUAAAAACAAAACAAACAUGGCGUUGCGCUACACAAAGUAAAAGUUGCCUUUGCGUAGAAAAUAUGGCUUUUAUAUUUACUUUUAAAUGGAAAAGCAUUUACCUUAAACAAGACUAACAAAAAUUACACAGUUGAGUGGAAUUUUCAAGCUGUUUAAUAGCGUUGUACAAUGUGAUACCGGUACAACAAAGCCAGGAAAACUUUACCAGUGGAAUGUUCACUAUAAACGUGUUAAGUUAAAACUACAAUUGUCUAGAACAUUUUUAUGUAAAUUAUUAAUAAGUAAUAGCAUGGUUUCUCGUUAAAUUUGGAUAAACAUGCACUCGUGAGUUUUUCAAAGACCUCAAAUAGCACUCGUCCUUCGGACUCGUGUUAUUUUGAGGUCUUUGAAAAACUCACUCGGGCAUGUUAUAUCCAAAUUGCACUCAAAACCAUGCUAUUACCUAUAAGUAUUAUACCCUGUCCCAUCCAAAUAACUCACUGUUACAAAUUACAAUAACACAGGAGAUUCAAUAGUCAACAACUAUAGACAAUUCAUUUAUACACAAAAAUGCACAUAAUACGAGGAAAGACUCUGAUGGCAAACCCAUAUAAUUUGUUCAAAAGCUAUCAGGAGACUUUCAGAGGUGCUUAACAUUUUCCUAAUGUUUGAAAUGUUCUUGGUAUCCAGUUGGCAAGUCAUUCACAGUUUGGUAUCCAAAACCAAAUUUUAGUAUCCUGUGGAUAUCGGGAUACUGCAAAUUUCAGAUCCUGUCUAAGUAGCCAGUGUGCCAGGGCGUUUUUUAAGAAUUUGUCAAGGGGGAGAGGGGUUAAGUGUCCCACGGUUAGUAGCCAGGGCGCUUUUUAAGAAUUUGUCUUGGGGCAAUCCAGAAAAAGGGACCAUACUAUACUGAGUGUGGAGAUAACAGAUGGUUGUUGGUGAGAAAAGUUUGAUGUGGUGUCAUAUGUAAUAGUAGGGGAUCCGGGGGGCAUUCUCUCCCAGAAAAGAUUUGUAUUUACCACCCUAGGAGGCUAGGACUUCAUUUUAUGCAUUUUUUAAAACAGAUUUUUGAAUAUACAGUGUUACAUUACACUGUAGAUAAACUGAAUCUUCAGUUAAGUACUUGCAUGUUAUAUUGUUUGUUAUAAUGCCUAAAUAUGCACUGAUUCACAAUAUUUAUUGGUGGACUUACUUGUUUACUAUGUUAUUUACUUCACUUUCGUCGAAUUUCAGGCCAUUUCGUUGAAUCCGCCCCAUAUUUUGUAUAUCAUCUAUUGUUAUAUAGUUAGUGUCAAAGUUCAAUUUUUCUGUUUGCCUAUUGGUCAAAACCGUGUCACGUGCCGGUCCACAAAACGUCAUGUUCGGCAACCGGUCUGCAAUGAAACAUUUAUUGACCGGUCAAUAUGAAAAUGGGUGCAAUACGCAUGCGUGUCAACCAUGAAGUUCCAAAGUUCAUUUUCUAAACUUUUUACUAAACAUUUACGGCGUUCCGUUUAUCCAGUUUUGGUUUCAAAUUAAGUUCACUCCAAUAACCGGUGAAUUAUUCAUACUUUGACACUUAUAUACUAUAUAACAAAACACUUAUUUACUGAGAGCUCGGGAAAGCAGUGUGUUUUGUGGCCCCUCGACCGCUGUUGUUGCCCUCGGCUUCGCCUCGGACAACAACGGCGGUCUCGGGUCCACAAAACAAACUGUUUCCCUCGGCCUCAGUAAAUAAGUGAUUAAAACAACUUAAUUUAAAUUAAAGUCCUUUCUCCGAACUCUUGAGUCGAUCUGCUCUGGAACCAACCGUUAAAUUUUUCGAACUUUGUAACUGCACCUCCUGUUAAAGUAUUUCUCCUCAACCCUCCUGAUCCGUUAAUUGCACGUGAUUUUAUCAAGUGAGGUUUUCUCAAAGUUCCAAAAUUUAAGUUUAAGCGUCAAAUGCAAGUCCACAAAAAACCGUUUGCAACAGUGGUUUAUCAGGUUUAGGCAAGUUGUGUUGAUUGCUAAACUUACAGUCAAAAAUAUUUGCAUACAGAUGAGUGCGUGAAUUCUGUAGUUGUCUAUAAAAUAAAACAGUUAUUCAACUUACUCUUGUCGUAUAUAACUGAUAGCGAACUCGGUGCUACUGUACGUACCUUGACUAUCAGCUCAUAUACCACGCUGACAGAAUAACUGUUAAUUUUGCCAUUGCUAAUUGCAGCAGAAUCGCUUUGGCAACCAAACACCAAUUACAUAUAUAUAAUACUAUAUAUUUCUAGAUCAAAUGCAUCAAGUAUGGACAGUUUAUCACAUAACGAAAGAAGGUGGAUUGUGGCUGGAAUUUGCCUUACAAAAGUCCUUACACCCGUGGUAAGAAACGUUCUUGAAUAUGAAAUGCAGAUCUGGUAUCACCAUUUGUGUAAACCACCAGAUGAAAUCAACAAACAAGUUUUUACAACAUUUAAGAAGAAACUACCACCUUCACGGUUUUUACUACAAUAUAAAAACAUUAACAAUAACAAUGUCCACAAAUUACCCAGUGCUUAUGACUAUGCUGUUAAGGAUCGUUUGUCUUUGGCAAAGUUAUUUGUGCAGCCUUUUAUGGCAAUGUUUACUGGUUUCAACGAAAGCAUGGAUAUGUCUGCAGUGUUGGCUGUUAUGUGUGAAGCAUACCCAUUUGUAACAUCUGGCGCUGCAGCUGAUGCAAAGACUGUAAGGUCAGACAUCAGAAACAAGUGGGCCCAUUGCAACUUCUCUGACUGGACUGUACCAACCUUCCUGGCUGCAUUGCAAGGGAUGCAGUCUCUGGCAAAGAAGAUCAAUUUGUCAUCAGCGGAUGAGAAAGCCUUGUGUGAUAGUCUAGACGACUGGAAAGAUAAAGGUAUCAAUGAGCAACUUUCAAUAAUACAAAGCAUCAUGGUAGUUUAGUUACUAGGCCGUAUUCCCUUGCCGCUUUUCGUUCAGUUUUGUUGCCCCCCUUCGGGCACUACUUUAAAUUCACAUGAAUCUAUAGGUUUUUAUACGCUGAGUACGAAUUCACUUGUUGUCACUCGCACAAACCUGCAGUUUUUUUGUAUUUUACGAUCAAACAUCAACAUUUUUUAUUAAAAUUUCCGCCAUUUUGUUCAGGAAACUUCAUGUUAUAUACCAUUAUUGUACUAGUUCAAGUCUCUUAGCAUUUUCAAUUUAAUUUUUUAUUCAUUUUCAAUUUAU